AUACGGAGGGUGCGAACGUUAAUCGGAAUUACUGGGCGUAAAGCGCGCGUAGGCGGUUUGAUAAGUGGGAUGUGAAAGCCCCGGGCUCAACCUGGGAACUGCAUUCCAAACUGUCAGGCUAGAGUAUGGUAGAGGGAGGUAGAAUUUCCUGUGUAGCGGUGAAAUGCGUAGAUAUAGGAAGGAAUACCGGUGGCGAAGGCGGCCUCCUGGACCAAUACUGACGCUGAGGUGCGAAAGCGUGGGGAGCAAACAGGAUUAGAUACCCUAGUAGUCC
rnacentral:rRNA from 1 species